GCCGUGGACUUCCACGGCUCGUCUGAAAUGCCUGAGUGUACCCCGCUUUGCGGCGUAUUCGGUGUGAUAAAUCUUCACCGGAGUUGAUCCAUUUCGGGUCGCGUCUUAAGGAGUGUGGCUCUAUGCUUCCAACCGUCUCUGUUUGGGACAAUCUCUGACAAUUUGACCUCAAAUCGGGUGGGACUACCCGCUGAACUUAA
rnacentral:misc_RNA from 1 species